rnacentral:piRNA from 1 species
UGAGAGUGCCAGGACUCAGUUGGGGG